CUUCAGUUGUUUUCCCAAAGCCCCUCUGUUUUUGAGACACCACUCAGACACUCUUCUUCGCCCUCGAAGACCAUCCCUGCGAACACGACCUACCCUCGACUUCGCCUGAAGGUAUUCAUGAAGUAAGUGUGCUGCAUUUGGAUUGGAUGUAAAGCCAUUCAUUGUUUGGUUGUUGUAACAACUCAUGAAUAUUGGUACCAAAAGUGAAGAUGAAUAUGACUAAUGUCAUGUGAGAAUUGCUCACGGGAGACGAAUCUUAUGCGAAUAUGC